GCCUACAGCCAUGACACCCUGAAAGCAUCUCAGAAGUUAAGCAGGGUCAGGCCUGGUUAGUAUUUGGAUGGGAGACCGCCUGGGGAUACCGGGCGGUAGUUAACC